AGAGAGAGAGAGAGAGAACAGUCAACGUCAAGUGAGUGUUACCGUGGUAACAAAAACAAAUCCACCUCGCAUCCCUGCUGACAAGUCAAGUCUACAGGGAACGGAAAGUUCUCAUUAACAUCUCAACUCAUUUGCCGGCCUGGAUGCUCGAGUGUACUGAACACAAGAGGUGAUUUUUUUUUCGCAGCUUUGGUUUCUCCCUCACUCGGUCAGCCAUCUUUAAUCUUCCCAAGUAAGAAAAAGAAAAAACCUGACAUUUGAGACAUAACUCACAAUUUCAUGGAAACUUGGAAACCCGCGGAUGUGAGUAAGGUUUUAAGUGUGUAGCGGCGAGUGCAUGAGGGCCGCUCGGCAGCUGAGAGCUCACGGUCGAGUUCUCCGUCACCACAGGCCUCUUUCUGGCAGGGGACCGUGACGUUGAAACCGAACAGGCCCGCAGGACGGAUCAGUGCGCCUGCUCGGGAUAAAUCAGUGGGAAAAGUCAGACGGUGUAACAGCCAAAGAGGAGACCACAGGUCCCUGUGGAACUAACGCCUACUAGAAGUUAAAACUACAGAGUCCUGUGAAAGAGCAGAUUUGACUUCUGUUCUAUACAUUUAAAAGUGAUGGGUGUGUGUGUUUUUUGGGGGGGAUGUAUAAAUGUUUACGACAGUUCCAGCGUAAUAUGCAGAGACAACUAACAGAAGAAAUUCGUAGGUCGUCUUUUGGUUUCUAUCAGAACCCGCUGUCUUGUCUGAUCAUCUCCUUUCUCACGGCUUUAGCUAAACAAAGAAAACCCUGUUUGUUAGGUUUGCACUCUACACAAAUGAGCAUACGCUGUACUUGUAGUCAGCUUGGGAAUAUUUCUGUUUAUUAUGGGUUAUAAUGAAUGAGAGAGGAGGAGAGAUUUGUGUGUCACAGGGUAUUUUUUUGCCAGCAGUAAUGUUCGCUCUGCCAAACCAACAGUUUGUCAUAAUUCAUCAAAUACAGCUCAGCUGGAGAGCACGAAUAAAUUAAUAAACCCAAUUGAAGCGCAUUCAACUGCAAUGCAGGAACAAACAGGCUAUUUAGCCUUCGUAUAUAAAACCGAUUGACAGAGAGGUUUACAGCUCGCUUAUAACUUAUGAAAGGUUUGGUGUUCACAGUUUUAGCCAUGUAUCAACUUGGUCUCAAAUGUUUCUCUUAAAAUUCCUCAAGGCGAAAUAAAAAUCGACACGCACAUACUUGACAUACGGUAAAAUAGCUUGGACACUUUUGGUUUAGUUUAGAAAUGUUUUGAGGUCAAGAAGAGGUUGGUAUCUUGGCAGAGGUCUUGAAGUAUCGUCCUUUUAAUCUCAUUGAUGUUCAGGAAAAACAAUUAAGAGAUUUUUCUUGACUAUGGGUGGAAGUUUUCAAACAAAUGCAGCCGGAUGGAUGGAUGCUUAGCUAAGCUGUGCCAAUGUGUAGUCAUUUUUGCUUCCGAUUUAUCUUACAGGUAUAUCUCGCUGCGUAUAAAUGGUUCUCGGUUAAUGUGCAGAAGCUGUAAGUCUGUCAUUUUUCACUCAAACUGUUUUCAAACUCCAGUUUCUAUUUGUUAUUCUGUUGAGGGCCGCGGGUGGCGCAGAAUCGAAAUGCGUCAUCUUUAAGCGUGUUUACGUUUGUUUGGUGAUGACAGUUGUGUCACAGGUUAAUGUCAGACUUCCACUGGUGUUUCCCUUUAAACCGUCCGUCUUUUUAAUGGCGUUUUAUCCCCUCCCUGAAUUCCUCUCGUGCUGUUGGCAGCCUUUACGAACAAGCAGUGAAUCACGUAUUGCUCUCUCUGGGUGGUGUGGGUGUGGUCAGUAUGAUGUCACUCAUUCGGAGGGCGAGGGUGGGCGUGAAGCAAAUGAAUGCGAAACACAUCACUUCCUCCUUAUCUCACCAGUGACCCCGCGACCUUCCCAUGACCGAACGUCUGAGAUCGUGCGUGUGUGUGGCAUGUGCUAUUUACUUUGUUUGUGAGGCCAAGCAUGUGCUCACUAAUAAGGUGAGGACGUGUUUCAGAUGCUCAUAAAUCACGCAGAUGACGUUUUGCUGUGAAUCUUCGGAUGUCAUCAGGUUUAUGUGUCCUUUCGCAGUGAGUUGAUCCAAUUCAGAAACCAAAGAAAUCAAGUUUCUGCCUUAACCAGAUCUAGCACGGCACACCAUGGGACAUAUCAUCAGGAAGGGUUCCCGUGAAAAAUGAGACUUCAUUUGUCCAGAAUCCUGCUCCACAUUAUAGUACAGAUCUGAGUUCUGGUUGGUUUUGUGAAUGACAUCAUUAUAUUCUUAAAAAUAGUUUCUUAAAAUGUAUACGGUUCCAUAAAGACCUCCUAAACAUGAAUCUGUGUAUGUGUGUGUUUGAUGUCCUCAGAAAGCCUCGAGUUGUCAAAAGCAACACUAUUCCAGUUCCUCUUAUGAGUUGGAGUGCAGAUACGACCUCUGACCCCUGAUGUAACAGCAGAUUGGUGAGCUCAUUCCGCGAGAUUCCCAGUCAGUGAGGUUUUCUCUGUCUUAUGUUAUGAUUGGUGUGAAUCGCGACUCUUUUCGCCAUUAAUAUUGCGGCGAUCGCGAUAAGACGGUAGUUUGUGAUUUAUUCUGGAUGAUGGUCACAUCCCAAAAAUUCACCCCGUCAGCGCCUGGGUCAGAGGAGACGCCGCGAACGGAACAAAUCACAGCCAGGAACGGAGGAGAUAUGUAAAGAAUUGGGAGAGUGUUUCUCAUCUUGUCGUUUCUAAUCCCUCGUUCUUUCUCUCCCUCCUCUCUUUCCCUGUCUGGAAGUGCAGAAUGAACAACUCCCCCACACUGCCUCAGCUAUGAGAGAGAGAGGAGGUCGUCUUACCAGCUGACAGCUGCGCUGAAACAGACACAUGUACGCACACUCUUUAUCUUGACUGUCAACAUAUCCACAUGUACAUGUAUGUACACACGUCAAACAUACAGUACAACAAAUCCACACUAUUAAAGAAGUUCAGGUUCAAGGCGGUUUAUUGUUUCUAGACACAAAGUGUCUCCGCUCACAAUCUUGUCUAUAUCUCAAUGUCACAUGAACAGGUGCGAUAUCUGAUUGUGAACGCACCUGAUUCAGCAAGAGUCAGAUUUUCUCUUUGCUUUUCUAUAAAGAAUCACACACAGAACCCGUGUAACUGACAACCAGGCUUGUUAAACGUCUUUGUCCAAAGUUAUCAAAAUAAUAAGCGACCAGCAGAAUCUUCUCAAAUUCUUUCUUUGUGUUCCACAGAAGGACGAAGUUCAUAAAGGUUUAAAUAGACACGAGGGUAAGUGAAUGAAUUUGCAUUUCGUACUGACAUCUGAAGCACACACACACAAAUGUGUUGUCCUACAUCAGUCAUUCACUCGGGAACACACACACUUCUCAAAAGCUACACGGUGCGCAAAAAGCACAUUGGGUUUAGCAACGCACGAAAUGUGCCGUCUGUCUAUUUGAAGAUGAUUGUAUUCGUCCAUGUUCAUUGGGAAGAUAUUCACACAUUUCAAGUUUAGUUUCUGUAAAUAAUCUCUGUAGUUGAGUUGAAUGGUCUGUAUGGUACAUCCAAACCAUUCAUUUAAAAAGAGAAAGAAGAGCCUGUUGUCCAUGAUGUGCCCCUUUUAACCUUUGACCUCACGAGGGUUAAACGAUCUAUGGGGAGUAUAGUUUUAACCAUAAUCAGAUUUAUAUAGAUGAUAUGUCAUCGGUCUGUGCUACGGACAUUUUUAAAUGAAACCGUUUACGCUGAGACAAGAUUUUAUUUUGUGACUGGACUUUUGGACAAAAUUGGACUUCCAAAGAUUCACACUGAAGCAGCGACAGGGUCAUAUCUAAAGAUCAGAACAUCACAGAUGCUUUCUCCCCAUAGAGGGAAAGAGAGCGAGGAAGAGAAGAAGGGAUACAUUUUCUGAAGAUGUUGAAUGGAGCUGUAGGAAAAUAGAUUGUCAUAUGAAUGUUUUCUCUUUCCAGAACAGGUGGAGAUGACCACAUGACCCUACGCUCACCUCGGGUCAUUCUGCAGCAGUUUGCCACGAACACAUGUUUGUCUGCGCUCUCCAUAUGUGUUUGUGAAUACCUCCGAGUUUUCAGUUACAUGAUCACAAUGUAAAUGGAACAGAUCACUGUUGUCCUGUUGAACGGCACGGAACCGUCUGGCCGGCACAGCUGAACGCCGAGCCCUCGUACCUGCACGGCCACACACCUCGGCCUCCGGUGACCAGAUGUACAUGUGCUGGCCAGGUUCGUGUGUGUGUGCACCUGCUCACAUGAGUGCAUCUCCCCCGUGCACUAUGUCUGGGUUUUUAUUUCAACAAACGGGCAUAUCAUCUGCGUAGAUAUUCAUGAGUCAUGACGCUGUUUAUGAAUAUGUAUAUCCACGCAUACCCGAUGUGCACCAAUUUAUGCCGUCUGUGUUUCUGCUUCACAAACAUAAUGUUCAACAAAUUCUCCACGUACAGAUACACAUGUACAGGUGUCUUGCCACAGUUGCCUUUAGUUUGCUCACUGGGUGCUUGCAUAUAAAAUAAUUUUCUUGCUAUUAAGAUAUUUUUUGCUGCUUUAAAAGUGUUCUAGUGUUUGAGCAGCAAUGCAUACAGGUUGCAGAACUGUCCGCAAGACUUGUGCAUGUACGGUUCAUUUUUCUUCCAAAGCCUGGCUGCGCAGGUGAGACUGGCUCCGGGUCCCGUAAGAACUCUCAGCUGUUAAAACAGUAGUGCUUUACUGACAGAGAGCGAGAGGAAAAAGAGGGGAAGAAAACACACAAAAAAAACCUUCAGCUGCAACCUCGGAUUCUCCGUAUCCCUCCCAAACCGCAAGGAGCCUGCGGCCUGCCAGAGAGAGAGAGAGAGAGAGAGAGAGAGAGAGAGAAACUUCGAGCUUUACUCUGCUGAGCGCUAUUGUCGGGAGCCAAAACAAGCAGGGUGAUGACAUCAUCAAACCUGAGACAGAAUGUGUCCUAGAGGCUUUCGUGUGUAGAGUCGAGCGCAGCGAGGUGGAGUCGGAUCCCAAAUCACCCAGCACACACCCUUCAAGCACAAUUUACACCGCUGGCCAAGUUUAAACAAUAUAGCAGAACAGGGAAGGAAGGAGAAAUUAACUCUGCCUCGCUUUUUAAUGGCGAACCCGACCUGCAGGAUUUCCCCGGGUCAGAGACAGUGGAUCUGACUCAUUUUGGAGCGAAACAGGAUGAGGAACGGGACACUUGAUUUUCUCCAUCAGGAAUUGACUGAAGCGUGAAAAGUGGCCGUUAUGUAUCAGAAUGGAGCCAGGUGGUUGGAGGGGAGCGGUUGAAAACAUGUGAGGGUUUGGUGACGUCAACCACAAAAAAAAUCAGUUGUGAGGGUGGUGGCUGACUAAUGGUUAAAGAUCUGAGCUGGUAAAAGUUUAUCCCAAGAGGAUUUGACCCAGGAACUGCUUUAUCAUCACGGCCUUGAGCAAAUCACUAAACCUCAGGUGCUCCAGAAGGACACUCUCUCUGCUUACUGUCAGAUCCCAGCACAUCUGCAUCAACUGUCUGCAGACCCUGACCCAAAACCACUUCAAAUAUGACAUCUUUAAAUACAAAUUAUUAGAUUAAGGGAAUCCAGUUUAAUGACACCAGCCUUGAAAACAAGCGCUUGAGGAGAGGCUAUGGAAAAAUCAAACAUGAUCUAGUCUCACUUUCACAAAUCUCUGCCUGCUCUGCGCAAAUGCCCCUUUUGAAGUGUUCCGUCUCCAAACUACAGUUUCCUGUUGGAGAAGGACACAGCUGCUUCUCUAUCCAAACAGAAGAUGCCAGUUCAGUUAUAUACCUGCUAGAAUAACCAUCCUUGGGUAUUAUUAUCGGGUAAUUUGGUAAACUCGGGCAGGACGGGACCAGGCAGCCGUUUCAUCUGCCCGGGGGAGCGUCGGGGAUUCUGGGCAGUGUGGAUUAUCAGGGCCUUUGGUCCCGUCUGCAGGUGUAACUGUGCCUCCUGAGCUCUUCAGCUGUUCAGAGGACUGUGGAUUAUUUUGCUGAAGUCGCUGGGAUGAGGGUCUGCUGGACUGGAUGACCCGAUGGGGGUGCUAGAAAGACUCAGGUGGAGUUUUCAGAUUGGCUGACAGCUUUUUGAGGUCCUGCAUGUGGUUUUGAUGCAGACCAAGCAGAAACCUCUUCCAGGAACUACACAAGCGAAAGAAAAAGGUACAGAUGGAGAAACUAAGUGCAAAUCGGGUAACACCUCCUCAAUCACUUUCUCCUCCUUUGUAUCAUGGAUGGGAUUUUUCCACACUCGCACGGAGCUCGGCGGGAUCCGUAAGGAGCGGGUUGGGAAUAUAAGAUGUGACGGGGAGACGAGGCCAACAGUCAUCUGGAAUGUGACGAAAUUUUAGAAGGUGGCAAAAAAAGGGAAAUGGUGUUCCUGUGGGAACAGCAGCUGUUCUUCUCAUCACCGUUCCGUCCGUCUCACCUGCAGACGUCUGCGAUCUUCCCGCUACAGUAGGAGGGUGAACGUGGUUUGGCUGUACCAGGUGCCCCGAUUGGGUUACAAACGCAAACAAGAGCAGCGAAGCCCAUUUGAACCUGUUUAAAUGGAACCGUUCACCCCAAAAAUGAACGUUCUGUCAUCAGCUGCUCACUUUAAUUUACGUUAGUUUUAUUUUUAUUUUAUGUUGUUAUUUUGACAUUUUCUAUACUAAUAUAAGUUGUUGAAUCGGUUGCAGCUUCAUGUUUAUAUUGUCUGUACUCAAGGACACAUAUGACAUUUUUGGUGAAUAACUUAUAUAUUCCCUAGGUAAUGCUAACAUAUGUUUAUUGAACUCGAAUAUAGUGUCUUAUGUAAAUCUUGAAAACCUUAAAGAACCACUUGCUGCUUUUACCGAAGUGUGCAACGUUA